rnacentral:rRNA from 3 species
GGGUGGUAAUGCCGGAUGCUCCAGUUGAUCGCAUGGUCUUCUGGGAAAGCUUUCGCGGUAUGGGAUGGGGUCGCGUCCUAUCAGCUUGACGGCGGGGUAACGGCCCACCGUGGCUUCGACGGGUAGCCGGCCUGAGAGGGCGACCGGCCACAUUGGGACUGAGAUACGGCCCAGACUCCUACGGGAGGCAGCAGUGGGGAAUAUUGCACAAUGGGCGCAAGCCUGAUGCAGCGACGCCGCGUGAGGGAUGGAGGCCUUCGGGUUGUAAACCUCUUUUAUCGGGGAGCAAGCGAGAGUGAGUUUACCCGUUGAAUAAGCACCGGCUAACUACGUGCCAGCAGCCGCGGUAAUACGUAGGGUGCAAGCGUUAUCCGGAAUUAUUGGGCGUAAAGGGCUCGUAGGCGGUUCGUCGCGUCCGGUGUGAAAGUCCAUCGCUUAACGGUGGAUCCGCGCCGGGUACGGGCGGGCUUGAGUGCGGUAGGGGAGACUGGAAUUCCCGGUGUAACGGUGGAAUGUGUAGAUAUCGG